rnacentral:rRNA from 1 species
GUCUACUGGCUCAUUACUGACACUAAGGCACGAAAGCGUGGGGAGCAAACGGGAUUAGAUACCCCGGUAGUCCACGCCGUAAACUAUGGAUGCUAGCUGUGACACACAUCGACCUGUGUCGUAGCGAAGUUAACGCGUUAAGCAUCCCGCCUGGGGAGUACGGUCGCAAGAUUAAAACUCAAAGGAAUUGACGGGGACCCGCACAAGCGGUGGAGCGUGUUGUUUAAUUCGAUGGUAAGCGUAGAACCUUACCAAGGCUUGAAAUCCCGAUAGCAGUUCACCGAAAGAAGAACCUCAUUUAGUUGGAUCGGUGACAGGUGAUGCAUGGCCGUCGUCAGCUCGUGUCGUGAGAUGUAUGGUUAAGUCCAUUAACGAGCGCAACCCUUAUGUCUAGUUGGAUUUUUCUAAACAGACUGCCCUAGCAACAGGGAGGAGGGAGGGGAUGACGUCAGGUCAGUAUUUCCCUUACGUCUUGGGCUACAAACACGCUACAAUGGCCGGUACAAAGGGCAGCGAACCCGCGAGGGGAAGCAAAUCUCAUCAAAACCGGUCUCAGUUCGGAUUGCAGGCUGAAACUUGCCUGCAUGAAGCUGGAAUCGCUAGUAACGGUAGGUCAGCACACUACCGUGAAACGUUCCCCGGGUCUUGUACACACCGCCCGUCAAACCAUGAAAGUGCCAACACCCAAA